rnacentral:rRNA from 1 species
UACGUAGGUGACAAGCGUUGUCCGGAUUUACUGGGCGUAAAGAGCGCGCAGGCGGUCGAUCAAGUCGAGUGUGAAAGCCCCCGGCUCAACUGGGGAGGGUCAUUCGAAACUGAUCGACUUGAAGGCAGGAGAGGGUAGUGGAAUUCCCGGUGUAGCGGUGAAAUGCGUAGAGAUCUGGAGGAACACCAGUGGCGAAGGCGGCCAUCUGGGACAACACUGACGCUGAGGCACGAAAGCGUGGGUAGCAAACAGG